rnacentral:lncRNA from 10 species
UCAUUGUGGUUGACUAAAUUUGUAAUUCACAGGGAGUCUCGUCAUUUCUUAGUAGGGAUUGAGUAGAGCCUGCAGCAGCGAGGGGUCUGGGGAUACUUAGAAGUGAGCACAUACAACAGAGCAUGGUCUACGGUGUGGCCAGCAGGUGGAGAUGCAGUGAGGCGGAGGGCACCCUGGAACUGAGCCCACUCACCAGUCACAGAACUGGGCACGCGUGCUGAUUGCAGAAGCCUGCCUGGCACAGCCAGGUGGACAGAUGUAGACAAAAAGAGGCCGGCGCCCCCUGCUGGUCAACUCGGCUCUGCUUUCCCUCCGCAGCCCAGAGGGGCCCAAGAAACCGGGAAGAGAAUGCAGGACCGGAGGCCAGAGCUGCCUCCGUGGCCCUGGGCAGGGCUCUUACUGUCUCUAAGCAUCCGCUUUCUCCAUCUGGAAAGGAAGAACUUCUCCCUGUCAUUCCUAAGUCCCAGGACUGCUGCCAGGGUAAAAUGAGGCAAAUUAUGGGCAUAUGCUACGAAAAUAGAAGCUAUUUUGGUUAUUGUUCUUAGCACGGCAUUCUUACAUCAGAGCGAAAAGUGUCUGGGACAUAAAUCUGAAAACGAUACAUUUAAAAUAAAGCAAAGAGUGAAUGGGU